ensembl:piRNA 21ur-3031 ncRNA
UUAAAACUCCGAAACAAAUGA